CCAAAUGUUUUUUUUUCAAAACCCCAAAACCGAGUCAUGCCCGUGUCCCUGCUCUCUGUUUCCUCCCCGAGCCGGCCUGCUCCCCCCGCCGCCGCCUGCUUCGCGCGCCGCCCACCACAACUCCACCCACCAGCCGCCCACCGCACCUCCACCUACUGGCCGCGCCCUCCUCCACGACGUGCCCCUGGUCGCUGUCACCAUGAGCUACCCCGAGUCGGCCCUCCCAUCGGCGCCGCCGCACCUCCCUGUCUGCUAGGGUUGAGAUCCAGCUUCUCCGUCAACAUGUUGCUCUGGUGGAUCUCCUCCUCGUCUGCAACAUCAAUAGCAGCAGGCCAGCAGCCAGGUGGUUCCUCUCCCUCAUAUCUCAUCUUGCAGCCAGGUUCGGCUCCAGCCAGGUCCGGCUCCAUGCCCUUGAGAACAGGUUGGGAUGCUCUUGUUUUUGUGACCUGUAAGUGUUGUCUAUCUCGCUUUAUUUGCGGCACUAUUUUCUCGUUUUUAUUGAAUUGAUUUACUGGAUCCUGCUUUGCUUUGUAUAGAGAUGUACUCCCUCUGUAAAGAAGUAUAUAAUCAUUUAGAUCACUAAAGUAGUGAUCUAAACGCUUUUAUAUUUCUUUACGGAGGGAGUAAUUACCAUGAAUUCGAUUGAUUUCUGUUGAUACUCUAUCCAUAAUCUAUUCAUGUAUGACCAUAUGAUUCCGAUCUAUGGACAGCUAUGAUGGAAAUUUCAUCUGUGCUAAUUUCCGUUUGUUCUCUCACAGCGGUCGCUCUCUGUGCUAAAUAUACCUGGUUAUUUUGCUUAAACUGCUGAAAGGAUGAGUAUUUUCUAUCUAAUUAAUGAUUUCUGCUAUUUAGUAGUGCGGAAUGGCGCAAUUGGUAGCAGUGUUUGAACCUAUUGUGCCUAUGUUAUCUGGAAACCUUGUGCGAGUGUCGAUAUACGGAAGUACGGUCAAUCCAUUUAUAGCUGCUGUGGGUGCUUUUCGUUUUUUUUUUCAAUUCUUUCAUGUUACGUUUUGUCUCGGGAGGGCAUCAGACAGACGGUCUUUUUCUGCUGCCGGCAACAUCUGACUUUUCUUAUAUUGACUGGUCCAUCUUCUUCAACGAUGGCACCAUCUUCUUCAACGAUGGCACCAUCGUAUAUGCUCGGAAUAUCCAGCCUUGUUUCUACUUUGGACCUGGAGAAAGUUCUUGAUAGACAGGACACACUUGAGGAACAUCGUCUCCUUGAUGCUGUUAAAAGAGUGUCUUUGCAACAUCAGGUCUUAGAUGGACCUCUGAAUUUCCCGGGAGCUACAGAGUUACAGUACACUUCAAGCUGGAUCUGGCAUCUCUCUAUCUUUGUUUGUCAUUUGCAGGGAUGCACAAUUUCUUAUAGUAGUGGCAUGCCAUUGCAGUUUUACACUGUUGGCACAAACUCAGAUUUGAAGUUUAUUGUGAUGUUAACAAACUGAUUGUAAUAACGACCUUGAGAGAAAUUUACUUACAAGAACAACGGCAAUAUAACGGGGAAAUAAUACAAUUUUAUUCUAGGCAUUUAAGAAGCUGAUUAAGAAGGUAAAGAGAUGGAAGAGGCGUGGCAGGUGGAAGUGGAACAACAUAGCAUCAACUAGCAGGCUCUCAUGGAUGCCCGCAUUCAGAUUGAGCGCGAGAUGGAACGGUUUAAGGUCUGUGAGAAGGAAACUAAAACUAAGGCCUUCUUGAAAG